rnacentral:rRNA from 1 species
AACGAACGCUGGCGGCAUGCCUAACACAUGCAAGUCGAACGAGUACCUUCGGGUGCUAGUGGCGCACGGGUGAGUAACGCGUGGGAACCUGCCUUUCGGUACGGGAUAACGUUUGGAAACGAACGCUAAUACCGUAUAUGUCUUUGGAUGAAAGAUUUAUCGCCGGAAGAGGGGCCCGCGUCUGAUUAGGUAGUUGGUGAGGUAAUGGCACACCAAGCCUUCGAUCAGUAGCUGGUCUGAGAGGAUGAUCAGCCACACUGGGACUGAGACACGGCCCAGACUCCUACGGGAGGCAGCAGUGGGGAAUAUUGGACAAUGGGCGCAAGCCUGAUCCAGCCAUGCCGCGUGUGUGAAGAAGGCCUUCGGGUUGUAAAGCACUUUCAGCGAGGAGGAAGGGUGGUGUGUUAAUAGCACAUCAUUUUGACGUUACUCGCAGAAGAAGCACCGGCUAACUCUGUGCCAGCCGCCGCGGUAAAAC